AGAGUUUGAUCCUGGCUCAGGAUGAACGCUAGCGGCAGGCCUAACACAUGCAAGUCGAGGGAGAAGCCCUUCGGGGCAGAAACCGGCGCACGGGUGCGUAACGCGUAUGCAACCUACCUUUCACAGGGGGAUAGCCCGAAGAAAUUUGGAUUAAUACCCCAUAAUAUUAUUGGAUGGCAUCAUUUGAUAAUUAAAACUGCGGUGGUGAAAGAUGGGCAUGCGUCCUAUUAGCUAGUUGGAGUGGUAACGGCACCCCAAGGCUACGAUAGGUAGGGGUCCUGAGAGGGAGAUCCCCCACACUGGUACUGAGACAGGGACCAGACUCCUACGGGAGGCAGCAGUGAGGAAUAUUGGUCAAUGGUCGGAAGACUGAACCAGCCAUGCCGCGUGCAGGAAGAAUGCCUUAUGGGUUGUAAACUGCUUUUAUAUGGGAAGAAUAAGGUGUACGAGUACAUUGAUGACGGUACCAUAUGAAUAAGCAUCGGCUAACUCCGUGCCAGCAGCCGCGGUAAUACGGAGGAUGCGAGCGUUAUUCGGAAUCAUUGGGUUUAAAGGGUCUGUAGGCGGGCUAUUAAGUCAGGGGUGAAAGGUUUCAGCUUAACUGAGAAAUUGCCUUUGAUACUGGUAGUCUUGAAUAUCUGUGAAGUUCUUGGAAUGUGUAGUGUAGCGGUGAAAUGCUUAGAUAUUACACAGAACACCGAUUGCGAAGGCAGGGGACUAACAGACAAUUGACGCUGAGAGACGAAAGCGUGGGGAGCGAACAGGAUUAGAUACCCUGGUAGUCCACGCU
rnacentral:rRNA from 1 species